GCAGAAGUGCGGGGUGGUCAUUAAGUCCAUGCAGGCCGUGGAGGACUGUGGCCAAGAGAAUCACCAGGCUCCUGUGCCCCCGCAGCCUGAUGACCUCUCCAUUGUGUGUUUCACAAGCGGCACGACAGGUAAGCAGAGGCACGCAGAUCCCCAGCCAUGGCUACCUGCACCCUUCCCUGGUGGCCUAGCAGGUGACUGCUGGAGUCUUUGAUACCCUGUUUGAAAUGGGCUGAGCCUUGUCUUGUUCCUGGCUCCAGACACUGGGUGACCUCCUGCACCUCCCAGUGCCCUGCAUAAGAGUGGCCAGAUGCAGAUGGAUAGUGUGCAUUGGGAGGUCCAGUGUGAGGGCUUGGCACCUCCCAGAGCUGAGUCAGCAGAGUCAUGGGCAGCUGGAUCAUGUGCUGAGGGAAGGUCCUUUCUCACUGGCAUCAUUUCUCUCUGGUAAACAGCUCUCACUCCCCUGCUUUCUGCCCCUGCCUGGCCUUUGUGUUGGAGACUGGGGAAAGAGUGUGAGGUUUGGCGUCUGAGAGCCUUGGUUUGAGUCCUACCUCCACUGCUUGCUGGGGGACUGUGAGCCACUCAUUUAACUUCUCUGCCACCAGUGUCCCCAGUUUCUCAUCUGCCAUGAGGGUGGCUAAAGGUGCCAAGUGGGAGAUGGGACAGUGUGUGAAAGGGCAAUGCAGAUGCUCUGCAGGCUGGGGCUGGUGUGCCAUGAGCAAGGCUGUCAGGCAAAGCACACAAGCAGAAAUGAUAUCCUCUGUGCUUGGAGCUGACAGAGGAGCACACACAUCAACAGUGGCAGGAAUAAUCAAGGAAGGCUUCCUGGGGGAGGCAGAAAGCACAAGAGGACACACACAGCACAGGCACAACCCUCUGCAUUUCUAUAGCAUGCUGUCCACCCUCUCUCUGCACCACUGGGGCCUCAGCACAGCCUGUGAGGUGAGCAGGAUUGUCACCAAGCCUGCUUGCUCCAAAGGGACACCAUCAGCAAGUAGAAGCACCAGGGCCUGUGCCCUGCUGUCAUAAUUCCCAGGCCAGAGCCUUUCCCAGUGCUGCCUUUCCAUCUCAUCUGAUGACGUGGAUGUCACUUGUCUUGCCCUGAAUGGGCAGGAAGUCUCCAGCCUUCUUUUUCCAAACUGAGGAUUGGCCCAUCUUGAUGACAGCUCUCAGUGGGCAGUGAACUGGGGCUCUGCAUGCCUUCUGCAGAUGCAGCCUCUAAGGCAUUUGACAGACCUGUGACCAGCCCUACAACCAGGAUUAUUCAUGUCAGUGGAUCAUGAUAAACAUGCUUUAUUGAAUAUAGAUAGAUUUUUACCAUUAACUCACAUGGGUUCAAGGAUUUCCACCAUAUUCUACUAAACUUUGUCAGAAAAAUAACAACACAGCCCUUCCUCUCCAGGAGCUGACAUCCAGAGCCAACCCAGAAUUCAAAAAUGCCCUUCAGGUUUAUGUUGCUUUUUAAAGAGCACUUUCCAAUGUCUUUUUGUCUUGAGUUUUACAAUGUGAAUUUUUGGUGACAUGGUUUUGGGGAGCAGGUCACUGCUAUGGCCUUACCUUUGGACCUGCCUUCAAAGUGUGCCUUCAGCCUUUUAACAGGUCACUUGGUCACAGACAUUGCCCUUGGAUCUGGAGAAAAACUUCAUGAUGCAGAAAUGUGCUAUUGCCUGGCUGGGGAGGGCAGACAUCAUGUCCAGUGCUUUUCCAGACUGUAGGAAGCUGAGCCAUCCUGCUCAAGCUCUGUGUGGUGGAAGCAGAAUGUAUAGGGCUUGAAACAUAGGCUGUGAUUUACUAUCCCAGACCUCCCACUCCAAAGCUAUGGCUGUUGCCUGGGCAGAGCUGGGGGAGUGAGCAGGGCUCUGGCCUGAUAUCACCCCAUCUGGCUGUGCACUUGGAUUUCCUUGGCUUUAGGCUAAGCCCAUGCUGUGCCUCUUGUACUCAUCCUCUUGUCGGGCACAUCAGCCUUGUGUGUCCUCAGCGUCACAGCCCAGAUACAGCUUCCCUUAAAUGUAAGCUAAAUGUCCUGGCUCCCAGCCUCAUCAAGGGCCACAUUGUUCUUUUCAUGGGGAAAGAUGGAAAAUAUGAUCUGAACCUGACAUUUGGCCCAUGAUUCUGGUGGAAUCAUUCCAGGAAGAUUUCAUUCUUAGCAUGUGGUGGAAAAAAUCUGUGGAGAUUCCUAGAAUAAGUCAGUACUUUGAAGUCCCUAUUCAGGCCAAGAAGGCCUGGGAGGUGGUGAGAGCUUGUGGUCUGUCUGUACCCAGUGAUGGCUGAGGGGUGGGCAUGUGGUUUGCUGUUCAUUUCAAAAUAACAGUUAGCUGGACUGGAAUCUGAACCCAUUCCCACCUCUGAAAAAAAGAUAAUAUGUGGGUGUAACAUAGCCCAGUUUGGGAAAUUGGGUCUCUUGAAUGAUAGUUAGGAUGUUUUAUCCUUGUGAGUUCAUAUGCCUUGUCUUCCCAGCAAAGAAAAUACAGUGCUUUUAAAAAACAUAACUUUCAGUCUAUGUGUUUUUAGCACUCUUUUUCUAAUUCAUCUAUAUUCACUCAUUCAGCUCAUUUUUGUGAGUACCCACUAUGCAUCAGACCUAGCAUUAGGUGCUGAGGGCAUAGGGAUGGAGAAGACAUAGGUCUGCACCCGUGAGCUCCCAGCUUGUGUCAUCAGGCAGUUACAAUAUGAUGCGGUCACUGCCUUGAGGUCUGCAUCCCUGGUGCAUGGGUUACCCGGCCACUGAGAGAUCAGUACAGCAGGACAGAAAGGAUUCCCAGAGGAAGUCAGUCUAAGCAGAGUCCUGAAAGAUCUGUAGCUGCAGAAGCCAGGGAAAGGCAUUCCCUGCAGGAGAAAGAGCAUAUGUGGAGGCCUGAUGGUAGCACAGAACACGCUGCUUUGAGGGAGUUUUGAGAGGAAAAGAGAGGGCCCGAGGCAGGGCUUGAGGGCACGAGCAUGAGGGAGAUGAUGGGACAGGAGUUCCCAAUAGAGGUCAGGCAGGAGGGGCUGGAGAGGCUAGAGGAGAACAGGAUUUGUCAGUGUCGUCUGUGGUUAAGUUGUAACUGGAGGAUGUCACCAUGAAAUGACCUGCUGGUGCUCUUGACAAAGACUGGUCCCGGGCGCGGUGGCUCACGCCUGUAAUCCCAGCACUUUGGGAGGCCGAGGCGGGCGGAUCACGAGGUCAGGAGAUCGAGACCAUCCCGGCUAAAACGGUGAAACCCCGUCUCUACUAAAAAUACAAAAAAUUAGCCGGGCGUAGUGGCGGGCGCCUGUAGUCCCAGCUACUUGGGAGGCUGAGGCAGGAGAAUGGCGUGAACCCGGGAGGCAGAGCUUGCAGUGAGCCGAGAUCCCGCCACUGCACUCCAGCCUGGGCGACAGAGCGAGACUCCGUCUCAAAAAAAAAAAAAAAAAAAAAAAAAGACUGGUCUUCCCAGCACUUUGGGAGGCCGAGGUGGGUAGAUCACAAGGUCAGGAGAUCGAGCCCAUCCUGGCUAACAUGGUGAAACCCUGUCUGUACUAAAAAUACAAACAAUUAGCUGAGUGUGGUGGCGCAUGCCUGUAGUCCUAGCUACUUGGGAGCAGAGGCAGGAGAAUCGCUUGAACCUGGGAGGCAGAGGUUGCAGUGAGCCGAAAUUGUGCCACUUCACUCCAGUCUGGGCAACAGAGCGAGACUCCAUCACAAAAAAAAAGAAAAAAA
rnacentral:lncRNA from 1 species